rnacentral:rRNA from 1 species
AAAGGAUUGCUUAUUGCACCACAUGUGUUUUUUAUUGAACAAAUUUCUUUGGUGGCGGGAGCAAUCCUACCGCCAGAGGUUAUAACUAAACCAAACUUUUUAUUUACAGUCAAACUUGAUUUAUUAUUACAAUAGUCAAAACUUUCAACAACGGAUCUCUUGGUUCUCGCAUCGAUGAAGAACGCAGCGAAAUGCGAUACGUAAUAUGAAUUGCAGAUAUUCGUGAAUCAUCGAAUCUUUGAACGCACAUUGCGCCCUUUGGUAUUCCAAAGGGCAUGCCUGUUUGAGCGUCAUUUCUCCCUCAAACCCCCGGGUUUGGUGUUGAGCAAUACGCUAGGUUUGUUUGAAAGAAUUUAACGUGGAAACUUAUUUUAAGCGACUUAGGUUUAUCCAAAAACGCUUAUUUUGCUAGUGGCCACCACAAUUUAUUUCAUAACUUUGACCUCAAAUCAGGUAGGACUACCCGCUGAACUUAAGCAUAUCAAAAGGCGGGAAGGAAA